rnacentral:rRNA from 1 species
AUUGAACGCUGGCGGCAGGCUUAACACAUGCAAGUCGAGCGAGCGGCGGACGGGUGGGUAAUGUCUGGGCAACUGCCUGAUGGAGGGGGAUAACUACUGGAAACGGUAGCUAAAACCGCAUAACAUCAGAUGUGCCCAGGUGGGAUUAGCUAGUGGGUGGGGUAAUGGCUCACCUAGGCGACGAUCCCUAACUGGUCUGAGAGGAUGACCAGCCACACUGGAACUGAGACACGGUCCAGACUCCUACGUGAGGCAGCAGUGGGGAAUAUUGCACAAUGGGCGCAAGCCUGAUACAGCCAUGCCGCGUGUAUGAAGAAGGCCUUCGGGUUGUAAAGUACUUUCAGCGGGGAGGCGUUACCCGCAGAAUAAGCACCGGCUAACUCCGUGCCAGCAGCCGCGGUAAUUC